GAAAUGCGAUAAGUAAUGUGAAUUGCAGAAUUCAGUGAAUCAUCGAAUCUUUGAACGCACCUUGCGCUCCUUGGUAUUCCGAGGAGCAUGCCUGUUUGAGUGUCAUUAAAUUCUCAACCUCACCCAUUUUGUCAUGAAAUGGUCUGUGUAGGCUUGGAUGUGGAGGUGUUGCAGGUCCCUAGCGGUCUGCUCCUCUGAAAUGCAUUAGUGGGUUUGGCCCCUAAAUCUAUUGGUGUGAUAAUUAUCUACGCCAUGUUGAUCUAGGAUCUACAAAGAACCUGCUGACAACCGUCCGUCUCGGACAACUUGACAUUUUUGACCUCAAAUCAGGUAAGACUACCCGCUGAACUUAA
rnacentral:misc_RNA from 1 species